rnacentral:rRNA from 1 species
AUUGAACGCUGGCGGCAGGCCUAACACAUGCAAGUCGAAAGAGUGGCGGACGGGUGAGUAAUGUCUGGGAAACUGCCCGAUGGAGGGGGAUAACUACUGGAAACGGUAGCUAAUACCGCAUACCAUCGGAUGUGCCCAGAUGGGAUUAGCUAGUAUGUGGGGUAACGGCUCACCUAGGCGACGAUCCCUAGCUGGUCUGAGAGGAUGACCAGCCACACUGGAACUUAGACACGGUCCAGCCUCCUACGGGAGGCAGCAGUGGGGAAUAUUGCACAGUGGGCGCAAGCCUGAUGCAUCCAUGCCGCGUGUAUGAAGAAGUCCUUCGGGUUGUAAAGUACUUUCAGCGAGGAGGCGUUACUCGCAGAAGAAGCCCCGGCUAACUCCGUGCCAGCAGCCGCGGUAAUUC